CCCUUAGAUGUUCUGGGCCGCACGCGCGCUACACUGACGAAUGCAACGAGCUUAUAACCUUGGCCGAAAGGUCUGGGUAAUCUCCAAAUUUCGUCGUGAUGGGGAUAGAUUAUUGCAAUUAUUAAUCUUCAACGAGGAAUGCCUAGUAAGCGCAAGUCAUCAGCUUGCGUUGAUUACGUCCCUGCCCUUUGUACACACCGCCCGUCGCUCCUACCGAUUGAAUGGUCCGGUGAAAUCUCGGGACGGCGGCUCGGUCGCUUGCGUCCGACUGCUGAAACUUGAUUAAACCAUAUCAUUUAGAGGAAGGUGAAGUCGUAACA
rnacentral:rRNA from 1 species